GGGAGUCGGCCUCCCGGUAUCGAUGUGCAGGCGUUGAUAUCAAACUACUUCUAUGCUGCUGCAGUUAAGUAGCCGUGGUGGGGAGCGAUAGGAGAAAAGGCAUCAUUAAAGAUGUCAGGU
rfam:Sphingobacteriales bacterium 50-39 SCNpilot_cont_1000_p_scaffold_22, whole genome shotgun sequence.